GAUGGACGCUGGCGGCGUGCCUAAUACAUGCAAGUCGAGCGAACGGACGAGAAGCUUGCUUCUCUGAUGUUAGCGGCGGACGGGUGAGUAACACGUGGAUAACCUACCUAUAAGACUGGGAUAACUUCGGGAAACCGGAGCUAAUACCGGAUAAUAUUUUGAACCGCAUGGUUCAAAAGUGAAAGACGGUCUUGCUGUCACUUAUAGAUGGAUCCGCGCUGCAUUAGCUAGUUGGUAAGGUAACGGCUUACCAAGGCAACGAUGCAUAGCCGACCUGAGAGGGUGAUCGGCCACACUGGAACAGAGACACGGUCCAGACUCCUACGGGAGGCAGCAGUAGGGAAUCUUCCGCAAUGGGCGAAAGCCUGACGGAGCAACGCCGCGUGAGUGAUGAAGGUCUUCGGAUCGUAAAACUCUGUUAUUAGGGAAGAACAUAUGUGUAAGUAACUGUGCACAUCUUGACGGUACCUAAUCAGAAAGCCACGGCUAACUACGUGCCAGCAGCCGCGGUAAUACGUAGGUGGCAAGCGUUAUCCGGAAUUAUUGGGCGUAAAGCGCGCGUAGGCGGUUUUUUAAGUCUGAUGUGAAAGCCCACGGCUCAACCGUGGAGGGUCAUUGGAAACUGGAAAACUUGAGUGCAGAAGAGGAAAGUGGAAUUCCAUGUGUAGCGGUGAAAUGCGCAGAGAUAUGGAGGAACACCAGUGGCGAAGGCGACUUUCUGGUCUGUAACUGACGCUGAUGUGCGAAAGCGUGGGGAUCAAACAGGAUUAGAUACCCUGGUAGUCCACGCCGUAAACGAUGAGUGCUAAGUGUUAGGGGGUUUCCGCCCCUUAGUGCUGCAGCUAACGCAUUAAGCACUCCGCCUGGGGAGUACGACCGCAAGGUUGAAACUCAAAGGAAUUGACGGGGACCCGCACAAGCGGUGGAGCAUGUGGUUUAAUUCGAAGCAACGCGAAGAACCUUACCAAAUCUUGACAUCCUUUGACAACUCUAGAGAUAGAGCUUUCCCCUUCGGGGGACAAAGUGACAGGUGGUGCAUGGUUGUCGUCAGCUCGUGUCGUGAGAUGUUGGGUUAAGUCCCGCAACGAGCGCAACCCUUAAGCUUAGUUGCCAUCAUUAAGUUGGGCACUCUAAGUUGACUGCCGGUGACAAACCGGAGGAAGGUGGGGAUGACGUCAAAUCAUCAUGCCCCUUAUGAUUUGGGCUACACACGUGCUACAAUGGACAAUACAAAGGGCAGCGAAACCGCGAGGUCAAGCAAAUCCCAUAAAGUUGUUCUCAGUUCGGAUUGUAGUCUGCAACUCGACUACAUGAAGCUGGAAUCGCUAGUAAUCGUAGAUCAGCAUGCUACGGUGAAUACGUUCCCGGGUCU
rnacentral:rRNA from 1 species